CUUCUUCUACGCAGAGACAGAAAACGGGAGGACGAGGAGCAGCGGGAACAAACAUGUGGACAAACGUCUGCUUUGUUUAGACCAGGACCAGGAGCCAGGACCAGGACCAGGACCAGGAGGAACUGGAGAAGGACGAGGAGCAUCAGGGACAGACUGGGGAAGAGUCCAGGGUGUACCCCGCCCAUCACCCUAUGCAGAGCACCCCCGCUACCCUCCGGUAGAGUACAGAGCGGUAGAUGAUUGAUGGACUGUGGGAGGAAGCCGGAGAAGAGCCACGCACACAGGGGGUGAACAUGAAAAACUCCAUGCAGAAAGAUCCUGGUUCCAACUGGGUCUCGAACCCUGGUCCUCUCGCUGAAAAGGCAAGAGCCCUAACCACUACACCAACCAUGUCGCCCAUGUCAUAGGACAGACGUUCUUAAAUAUUCGUCAGUCUGAUAUUUUUUUGAAGUCGUGGGUUCUAUUAUUGAAAGACUUCCAAAUUGUGCAAAAAAAAGCAUACAAGGACAAAUAGCUCAUGUGUUUAAAUGAAAGACUGGAGUUCCGAUGGUCAGGGGUUCGAAUCUUACACCAGCCGUGUAGCCCUGCGUCCCGCAUCAGUGUGCCGUUUUUGUGUCGUCUGUUAUUGAAAGACGUCAAACGUUUAAGAGAUUCUAUGUGAGGACAAGUAGCUCACGUGGUUGAGUUAAAGACUGGAGUUCCUGAGGUCCGGGGUUCAAAUCUUGGAUGAAGCAACUUUUUAAGCACAAUAUUCAACACAGAGAGUAGAUUGGUCUGAGAAAACCUGAGGAAGAGUGUGGACAGUUAGCUCAGCUGGUUAGAGAGCUGCCUUUCAGUCCUGACGUUGACGGUUCAAUUCCUUUAUACUUGAAGGUUUAAGGGUCCACAGCCAAUGUGAAGAGUAAAAACCACCAAGAGCUUCUCCAAAUUGUCCGAAGGGUUCGUGGCGUGCUGGAUGUGUUCGCAACCGCAAGGUUGUGCCAGUCCGGCUGUGGCUGGUUCAAAUCCAGCAUGCUCCGAAUACCUGGCCCGGCGCCGGGGCCAAACUACGCGCGCCCUCACUGCGAUUGUAGUGGUGGGGGGUUGGGGCUGGGCUGUGCUCCCCCGGCCUCCCAUAAAGGUAACAGAAGGGGGUUAUACCAUUUUAUUUUAUAUUUUCCCCCAAAAAAAAAUCCUAAAAAAAAAAAGCCAUAAAAAGACAAAGAAAAAAAAAAAUUGAUAGGGGUUCACUCCCUGGACUGUUGACCACACAGUUUGGUCCCGGUGUCCAGUAACUGCUGCUUAAAAAUGAUGAGCACAUGAAUUAGACUUCUGUGUGAUUAAUGU